CGAUAAAUGCGUGUUUUCAUGCUUUGUUUUCUGAGGUCCCUGGACAAGUUUACAUUCAGAAUAAGAAAACGGAUUCAGACCCUCUGGCUACAGUAAUAACAUCGGAAUCCAUCGAAUCUGCUCUUGAAAUCAUUCGGGACGUUGUCCUUCGCCAUCUUGAUACUGGCUCCAGCACCCAAGUCAUGUUCAUCUCCUGCAGAUACUGACUGUGUGCUUGCGGAUAAUGAUUUCAGCAUCCAGCUCAAGUUCUUCUCCUGUCGAGCCUGACUGCAUGUUUGCAGAUCCUGAUACCAGCAACUGGCGCUACAAGAGUACACUAACAUUUUAACGCUCCUCACAGAGUUGACCCGGCAUCUUCAAAAUUUGACGAAGAAAAGAGACAGGCUCGGGAACAAACUUUAGUGCGGAGCAUCUCGCUCUGUGUAAAUCUCCACCACGACUUGACUAAGAAAUGAUGAAAUACUCAUCAACGCUCGCAACACCGUUGACAGGAUCAUCAAUGUUCUCAACACCGUUGACAGGAUCAUCAAUGUUCUAAA